GCUUGGUCAUUAUAAAUUCUGAAGAUGAUGGAUGAACCAGUGAGAAUCAGAGGUGGAGGGAGGAAGCGAGACAUGACGGUGUGUCUCUGGACAUCACUUUUCUCACAUCAGUCGCUGAUUAAACCCAUCCACUGACUUCCUGGGAUUCUUCACAUCACUGGCAGAACUUUUCAGGGUCAAAAAAAGUAUUUUUUUUCUCCACACUUUCUGUUGCCGCAACCUUCACUGAUUUUGGGGGAUUUGCUUAUUUGGGGUCAUGGGGAGAACUGGCUUGGGUGUGUGGAAACCAACUUGCUGCCAAAUGGGUCUGAGCAGUAGUCAUUACAAAGGUGCAUGCUUGCACGAUGCCAUCAGUGCUGGUCUGAGUUAUAAAAAGGAGAAAAUCCUUCACUGUGAAACAAGUUUUGUCCAAAAAGGGUUAUAUUUUCUGAAUGCUCCUUUUUAAGGGAAGUCUGGCUGAGAUGUACCUUCUAAUGAAGUGAUGGCAGACCCAGAACAGGGUUACAAGGGGAUGACCUUUUAAUCCGUAGACGUUUUUUGUUUGGUUUGUUUUUAGUUUCUCCUAACAGAAUCUUGUAGAGCCUUCUGAAUAGAUCAGAAGCUAUGAUCUGUCGGAUACAUGUGAGCUGUGUCUGUCAGUGAAUAUUUGCACAAAACUAGCGAAACCUUUAAAAUUGCUAAAGUGGAUCUGCAAAGGGACUAUGAAUAACUCCACAUUUAAUGUGUGAUUUCAUUGUUUUAACAAUCCACAAUGUCGUCUUUGUGUGACUAUGUUAAGAAAAGCCUUUCUUGCAGGAUCUGCAGAUGUUGAUGCAAUCGUGUAACUUUAGUGAAAUGCAUGUAAGUGUACAAACAUUCGUCGCAAUCUUCACAAGUCUUGUUCUUAUUGAUGAAUGAAUGUAACACUUUAUUUUGUAAUGAUUUAAUAAAGCUGUGAAUAUUUUAAGAGAUUUUAAGCGGAUGUUUGAUAAUGUUUCGUCUAAAGUGUGCUGGUGGAGUCUCGAGGCUGGCACAUUGAGCUGCAGCGUGACAUUAUUUCCUGCAUCUGAGAAUCUGUGGCGUCAUCUGCACGCAACAGGAUGUGGUCGGCCCGAUGCACGUGUUAUGUCUCUUAAGGCGUGGAGUUUUACCGUGUGUGCAUGACUGCUUGAGGCUGAUGUGAUGCCCUGUGACAGUCUGAGUUCUCGUUGGGUGCCACGUGACCCCCUAACCCUCUGCCCACGCCACAAGCCCCUCCCUAUCGCUCUCUAUCUUGCAUGUCACUGGGUGAAAAUCUCAAUUUGGCAUCUACGUGAUGCUAGCAUGAGGACACAAGACCAAAUGAAGAGCAACCAUUGGUUGACCGUUCAUGCGUCACAAUAUUUGACCUGGUUCUGUGUCGGAGAGACAAAAGGAUGCAGAUAAGGUCAUUGGUUGGGAGUGUGGGUGGGAUUAGCAUGCAUUUCGAUUUUUAAAAUUCGGGUUUUCAUUUAUAUUUCUUAAAUUUGCAAAACAUAACGACGCGCUCAAGGUGAGAGGUUUUUGUAAAUUUUUGGAAGGACAGAAGAUUUGAAUAAAUAAAUUUAACCCUUCAAAAGACUGAAGUUACCAAGCUUAUUUUCAAACAUUUACUGACCCAAGCUCCUUGACGAACAUUAUUAACUGGGGCAUCAAUAGGAGAGUUCUUGUUUCUCUACCUUGUGUGCGGGCUGUUUUAUGUGGAUAAUGAAUGCAAAGCUUAUGAAGCACUGAAUUUCAUUCGUUGCUGAUUUGAAAUAAAGACUUCGUCAUUCACCCAUCUA